rnacentral:rRNA from 1 species
UGGGGAAUAUUGCACAAUGGGGGAAACCCUGAUGCAGCGACGCCGCGUGAACGAAGAAGGUAUUCGUAUCGUAAAGUUCUGUCCUAUGGGAAGAUAAUGACAGUACCAUAGAAGAAAGCUCCGGCUAAAUACGUGCCAGCAGCCGCGGUAAUACGUAUGGAGCGAGCGUUGUCCGGAAUUAUUGGGCGUAAAGGGUACGCAGGCGGUUUAAUAAGUCGAAUGUUAAAGAUCGGGGCUCAACCCCGCAAAGCAUUGGAAACUGAUAAACUUGAGUAGUGGAGAGGAAAGUGGAAUUCCUAGUGUAGUGGUGAAAUACGUAGAUAUUAGGAGGAAUACCGGUAGCGAAGGCGACUUUCUGGACACAAACUGACGCUGAGGUACGAAAGCGUGGGGAGCAAACAGG